rnacentral:rRNA from 1 species
CGUACGCUGGCGGCACGCCUAACACAUGCAAGUCGAACGCAGUAGCAAUACUGAGUGGCAGACGGGUGAGUAACAUGUGGGAAUCUGCCUUGUGGUUCAGGACAACAUUGGGAAACCGAUGCUAAUACUGGAUAAGCCCUUACGGGGAAAGUUUUAAUGCCAUAAGAUGAGCCCGCACUUGAUUAGUUAGUUGGUGAGGUAAUGGCUCACCAAGACAAUGAUCAAUAGCUGAUCUGAGAGGAUGAUCAGCCACACUGGGACUGAGACACGGCCCAGACUCCUACGGGAGGCAGCAGUGGGGAAUCUUGCACAAUGGAGGAAACUCUGAUGCAGCGAUGCCGCGUGAGUGAAGAAGGCCUUUGGGUUGUAAAGCUCUUUCACCGAUGAAGAUAAUGACGGUAGUCGGAGAAGAAGCCCCGGCUAACUUCGUGCCAGCAG